rnacentral:rRNA from 1 species
GAUGAAUGCUGGUGGCGUGCCUAAUACAUGCAAGUCGAGCGAACAGACGAGGAGCUUGCUCCUCUGACGUUAGCGGCGGACGGGUGAGUAACACGUGGAUAACCUACCUAUAAGACUGGGAUAACUUCGGGAAACCGGAGCUAAUACCGGAUAAUAUAUUGAACCGCAUGGUUCAAUAGUGAAAGACGGUUUUGCUGUCACUUAUAGAUGGAUCCGCGCCGCAUUAGCUAGUUGGUAAGGUAACGGCUUACCAAGGCAACGAUGCGUAGCCGACCUGAGAGGGUGAUCGGCCACACUGGAACUGAGACACGGUCCAGACUCCUACGGGAGGCAGCAGUAGGGAAUCUUCCGCAAAGGGCGAAAGCCUGACGGAGCAACGCCGCGUGAGUGAUGAAGGUCUUCGGAUCGUAAAACUCUGUUAUUAGGGAAGAACAAAUGUGUAAGUAACUAUGCACGUCUUGACGGUACCUAAUCAGAAAGCCACGGCUAACUACGUG